AUACGGAGGAUCCGAGCGUUAUCCGGAUUUAUUGGGUUUAAAGGGAGCGUAGGCGGAUGUUUAAGUCAGUUGUGAAAGUUUAGGGCUCAACCUUGAAAUUGCAGUUGAUACUGGAGGGCUUGAGUGCAUUAGAUGUGGGCGGAAUUCGUGGUGUAGCGGUGAAAUGCUUAGAUAUCAGGAGGAACACCAGUUGCGAAGGCGGCUGACAGGACUGUAACUGACGCUGAUGAUAGAAAGUGUAGGUAUCAAACAGGAUUAGAUUCCUUGGUAGUCCACAAAGUAAACGAUGAAUACUCGCUGUUUGCGAUAUACAGUAAGCGGCCAAGCGAAAGCAUUAAGUAUUCCACCUGGGGAGUACGGCGGCAACGGUGA
rnacentral:rRNA from 1 species